rnacentral:rRNA from 1 species
ACGAACGCUGGCGGCGUGCUUAACACAUGCAAGUCGAACGGAAAGGCCCUGCUUUUGUGGGGUGCUCGAGUGGCGAACGGGUGAGUAACACGUUAGUAACCUGCCCUUGACUUUGGGAUAACUUCAGGAAACUGGGGCUAAUACCGUAUAGGAGCUCCUGCUGCUUGGUGGGGGUUGGAAAGUUUCGGCGGUUGGGGAUGGACUCGCGGCUUAUCAGCUUGUUGGUGGGGUAGUGGCUUACCAAGGCUUUGACGGGUAGCCGGCCUGAGAGGGUGACCGGCCACAUUGGGACUGAGAUACGGCCCAGACUCCUACGGGAGGCAGCAGUGGGGAAUAUUGAACAAUGGGCGGAAGCCUGAUGCAGCAACGCCGCGUGCGGGAUGACGGCCUUCGGGUUGUAAACCGCUUUCGCCUGUGACGAAGCGUGAGUGACGGUAAUGGGUAAAGAAGCACCGGCUAACUACGUG